ensembl:snRNA U6 U6 spliceosomal RNA
GUGCUCGCUUCAGCAGCACAUAUGCUGAAAAUUGGAAUGAUACAGAGAAGAUUAGCAUGGCCCCUGUGCAAGGAUGACACGCCAAUCCGUUAAGCAAUCCAUACUAUU